rnacentral:rRNA from 1 species
AGUGAACGCUGGCGGUAGGCCUAACACAUGCAAGUCGAACGGCAGCACAGUAAUAGCUUGCUCUUACGGGUGGCGAGUGGCGGACGGGUGAGGAAUACAUCGGAAUCUACUUUUUCGUGGGGGAUAACGUAGGGAAACUUACGCUAAUACCGCAUACGACCUACGGGUGAAAGCAUGGGAUCUUCGGACCUUGCGCGAUUGAAUGAGCCGAUGUCGGAUUAGCUAGUUGGCGGGGUAAAGGCCCACCAAGGCGACGAUCCGUAGCUGGUCUGAGAGGAUGAUCAGCCACACUGGAACUGAGACGCGGUCCAGACUCCUACGGGAGGCAGCAGUGGGGAAUAUUGGACAAUGGGCGAAAGCCUGAUCCAGCCAUACCGCGUGGGUGUAGAAGGCCUUCGGGUUGUAAAGCCCUUUUGUUGGGAAAGAAAAGCAGCAGGUUAAUACCCCGCUGUUCUGACGGUACCCAAAGAAUAAGCACCGGCUAACUUCGUG